CCUGCCCAGAGCUGCGUGUGCCCCAUACCUGGAGGUGCCCGAGGCCAGGGGUGGCCUGGGUGUCCUGAGCUAGUGGGGUGUCCCUGCCUGGGGUAGGAACUGAAUGGCCCCUCUCCUCCCUUUCAUUCCAACCAUCCUAUGGAAGACGUAGCGCUGCCAGGGUGGCUUGGAGCUUUGCAGAGCUGCAUUUCCAGUUCUUGCUGCUACAGGAAUGGCCUGGUCUCCCAGUGCUUACCCAAUUGAAAUUGUUCUUCCUGCUAGAUUUUAAAGAGCAAAAAUCAGUAUUUUUGGUUACUGCCACUCGAACAGAUUAUAGGAUGUGCAAUAUCUGUUGCAAACAGGAGCGCAUAAUCCCCAGCACAGAAUUUUAGACGUUUCCUGGCUUCUUUGCAGAGGAACUGCAGCAGCUUCAGUGUGAUUCCUCCCAAAGGACGUUACCCCAGUGGGAUCACUUUGCCCUGGUUCAUACCAGCAACCUUUGUAUCUUCCAAUUCCAUGAGAAGCAAUAAGAGAAAACACACUGACAACCAGAAGGUUUUGCCACAAGACGUGCCUGUCAGGUUUGUCCCCCCUGUCAGAAAUGGCCAUUUUUACAAAGAGAAGAAAAAAAAUCCCAAGCUAGUCUGGCCACAUUAACCCUCAGGUGGAGAUAACUCGGGAUGGAGGUUCCCUUCCUGCAGCUCUCCCCUUGGCUGCAGGCUGUGCCCUCGGCUCCUGGCGGCUCAUAGUACUGUGCCUCUCUGCUGUCACCACCAGAUCUCCCAGAACAGUGAUAGAUGACACUGAUUGCCGUCUCAUUGGUACCCUGCUCUUUAAAAUGUCUUUUUUUUCCCCCCAUUUGAAUAGUACCUCUAUUACAUAAUGCAGUUAAUGUUAUUUUUUCUGGCUUGAUUGACUUCUCUCUGCAGAGCUGCAGUUGGAGUGCUCCUCAUGGCCACCCAGGAGCUGACAGAGAGCUUCACUGAUUCACAUAAAGAUAGCUGUGGCUCUUCGUGCAUUCUCUGAGUAACCAGCAGACUUCUGACACAUCCUUUAACCCAACUUCUGUUUGAAUGUGUUGGAACAGAUCCUGCUCCCAAGCUCAGCCCAGUGUAUGCUGCAGAGAGAGAUCCUAGCGGAGAGCAGAGCAGAAACGGUUUGGCUUGGGAGCAGUGUGGGGUCGGUGUGAGCAGUGCUGGGCUGCGGCUCAUGUGCUGCAGGAGGAGUGUGUGCUCACACUCUCCAGACCUCAGCACGGCACUGCAGUUCAUGUUGGCUCUGGAAUGGAAGAAGGAAGAUGGCUCAGCUUCAAGAACAUCUGUGAGUGGCAGAGAUUGGCCUUGCACACCACCAUAGUUUGGGGUGCCCAACUGGCCCUGCUCCCCAUCCCUGGAUUCUGGGAUGGACACCCAGGUGCUGCUGGUGGCCAUGGGGAAGGGACAUUGGGUCUGAGUUCAGCUCUUGGUGUCCAUGUAAUGAGUACUGGGCUUACCAGAGCAGCUCUGCUGUCCCCUCCGAUCUCCCAGUUCCUCUGUGAGUGUGCGUUGUGGUCUGGGGAGAAGGAACAACGUGAAGCUGAUUCGCUUAAGGCCACAUCCAAGGAAGGAAGAGAAAGAGAAGAGGACAGGCUGGAUUGAAUCAGUGAAAUUUAGGCAGCCUGACAUCAUGUGCAAAACUUGAAGUUUGUGAAACCCGUGUUCUGUAUAGCACAGCUGAGUGAUGGUCUCACAGCUGCUGGGGUUCGGUGCAGCAAAAGGGGGGUGCUGGGUUGGGGGGGCUGUGCAGGAGGAAGCUGAGUGAGUGGGAGAGCUCCUCCAUUUUGCCUUUGCUUAGCACUGAAGGUGUCACCCCUUCCUAAGCACUGUCUUGCAGGAACCAAAGGAGGAAGAUUAGGUGAUGCCCAAGGAGAAGCUCCUUGCAGCAGCUGCAGCUUCCUGCUGUUGGUGCUCAUAACUGUGUGAAAGCUUAAUGGCUCAUUAAAACACCACAUUGUCAUACUGCUUUAUUUUUAUCAUUAUUUUUUUAAGAACAAUGAGAGGAUUCUUAGCAGUUCCCAUCCUAAUAAAAACCCCGAAGUAAUCAAGUGUUGUAGGCUCAAAUAAGAGGACAUGGGGAGCCAGUAGGUGGUUGGGAGAGUGGCUGGGGGGCAGGUUAGCCACAAAAGAUGCAGGAGAUGAGGAGGGGUGAUGGUGCUGCAGGAUGGCACACUGGGAGAACACAGUGUAUUCUGCAAAAGCAGAGGUGACAAGAAUAAGGGUAAGUGCACAGAGCUGGCCAUGAUUGCAGAUGCAAAGCAGGAAAGAGCAGUGUGGUCUUGAGGUGUUUGUGCAUAAUUAGAACAAGGAAGAAUUGUUUUAAUUAGUAUGGGUGAUAAGUUGUGAGUAGAAAGUGGCAGUGAUAGGUGUAUGGAUAAUAGGAGAUGUGACACACAUAACCUUAACCUCAUCCAUCUUGUCUCUAUUCUGCAACAUGUUUCUAUAGGCAGUGCUUUCAGGCUGAAGUCAGGGAACGAAGGCUGCGUGCUGUGCUGAACUGUGAUGACUCCAUCCUUGGUCCCAGUGAGGGACAGCAGGGAAUAAUGUUACCCAAGCGUUGGAUAGCACAUUUAACAAUGUGGAGGUAAAGAAAAGGGUCACAGGUUGUCACAGGGGUUUACCACAAAUAAUAUCAUUAGUUUGGUGGAUGUCUUUGAUCAUUAGAAGUACUGGAAGUGGAAGGUGCUAUAAGAAAAAUGGCAAUGGGGAGAGCUAAGCAGGAGGUUCUCACCUGGGAGGACACAGCAGUUCGCUUACUUUUCAGGAACGCACCUUCAGCUUUUCUUUGCAUUGAACUAUCACAUGCACUAUGAAACCCUGAGCUGGAAGCUGCUGGGAGAACCCGUAGCUCUGAACUUCCUGCCAGGAAGGGUGCUCAGGAGGCGUGAGAAGUGUUGGUGUUCUUGCACAGCGUGGGCACGUCAUCCAGAGGAGCUCACAGACAGGUGUGCAUGCUCAGGAAUUGGGUGCACGGCUCUGACCGGUGGUAACAUGGAUGGAGAACCCCUCUCUGAAGAGGUGACCCAACUGGAAAUUGCUGAGGGAGCUGUAGCAGUGGGAAAAUCCACGUGGUGGUUCGAACAAGUGUGCUUCACGGUGUCUCAUGGCAUGCAGGAUUGAAGACAAGAAGAUAAUAAACAAUGCAGUUUGUUUAUAUGUGCCGUGUCUCCCACUGGUCUUUGUGCUUUGGGUAGGGAAUGUACGAGGCUGGGGAUCAGGGAGGAUGGAUCUGGCAGUCCGCAGUCUGCCUUGCCACGUGCUUUGUUGUAGGAGCAUAGUGGAAGGAUGUUGGUGGAGACUUGACAACCUGGAUGCAUUGGCUUGUUUCUGUGUCACCCUCAGGGCUUCGUUGCACCGGCUGUGUGGAAGGGAGCUCAGAAUCCAGGAACCACCAGUGCAGUUCAGUGGUUUUGUAGCUGGAGAUGAAACUGGAGUGGGAGUGAGGACACUGCAGAAGGAAACAUUCUGUAGAACUGCCAAAAUGUUCGACCUCAGCUUAGAAGGGCUGCAGGGAUGGUGGCAGUCAGCUGAGGACCUGUGAUGCUCAUCGUUGGACUGAAGUUCUCAGAAUUUCCUCUGUAACGAUGGCUUCAAUUCAUCUGUUCCUAUGAGGCAGUUCUGGUUGGGCUUGGCAUGCUCUGUCCCAGCUGUCAGGUCUGGGAUGUAUCCCCUUUUUGAAAUAAAAAUGUUUUCAAUGCUGUGCAUUUGAAAUCCACACUGAUCUGCUGUUACACUGGGAAAAAAAAAAAAGGGUAUGGAAACUUUCCAAAAAAAAAAAACCAGCUUCAACCAGAGACAGAGUUUGCAUUUUAUUGGAUUGUGUCAUGCAUAUUCACAAGUCGCUCUGAAAGUAAUACCUGCUAUUUAUUUCCUUGGAAACAACAACUGCCACAGAGAGCACACUAACACCGUUUGAUGGAGCAAAUUCUCAGCUACAAAACAUUGUGUGGUUUGAGUUCAAAGGGGUCUUAAGGCCCGACAUCGUUCAGUUUGUAGGUGGACAAACAUUCUUAACGGCUCCAUGCGUGGAUUGCUUGUACUUAGCUGGAAAAGCAAAGGCCUGAAGGAAUACACGCAGAUAGACCUGCUUCUGUAAGUGGUUAUGAGCAAAUGAAUUGCUGCGCACAAAGUGUCUGUGUCGGUGUUCUAUUUCCCACUGAAGCCUUCGUGUGUAGGAACCAUGCAUUGGUGCCCACAUCCUUGAAGAACAGCUAUUAGCAAUGAAGAACAGAUGAUGGGAUGUGGGAAGAGGAGGGAUCACCACCAUAUGGGCAGGAGAAACUCACAGUCAAAGGUGAGGAUUGGCAUUGGAUUGCCAUUGGGAGCAGAGCGGGGGGAAUUGUGCCUGGCUCUGAAUGGAGGGAUGACUGGACGUCUCGGGGAUGGAAGUGCCAGCAGUGUUUGGUCUGUCACAGCAAAUACCUGCAGUUGGGAAAUGGUGUUAGGGAGAGAAACGGAAAUGGACUUAAAACACCCAAGGACGAGGCAGUGUUCUUGAAACACGGGAGCAUCACGUUGCUGUUAACAUUCUAGCACCAGAACGUGGUUUGGGGUAAUGCUUUGCAGACAACUGCAAACUUCUGGAGACCAAGUGGUGGAGGAGGAUGGCCAAAUAACCACGUGGUUGUGGUUCUGCAUGUGGAUGGACAGUGAGCGGCAGGUUCUGAGGUGAGCUGGCCGCAGGUAAGUGGAGCAGCAAGGUUGGGCUGGGAGCACUGCUCCAGCCCUGUGUUUUCUUUCCCAUCUGCCCUAACAUCGGGGUGACCCACAUUUUUAAAUUAGCAGCACAUCCAUCUAUCCGAACUGCUCCUUUCGGGAG
ensembl:lncRNA